rnacentral:rRNA from 1 species
UUGGCCUACGGGAGGCAGCAGUGAGGAAUAUUGGUCAAUGGGCGGAAGCCUGAACCAGCCAAGUCGCGUGAGGGAAUAAGGCCCUACGGGUCGUAAACCUCUUUUGCCGGGGAGCAAGGGCCGGGACGAGUCCCGGUCCGGAGAGUACACGGAGAAAAAGCAUCGGCCAACUCCGUGCAAGCAGCCGCGGUAAUACGGAGGAAGCGAGCGUUAUCCGGAUUUAUUGGGUUUAAAGGGUGAG